rnacentral:misc_RNA from 1 species
CACCUGCCCCUACUGCAGGCACAUCUCGUAAUCUCGCCGCUGUGCUUCAGCGGCUGGUUUUGAUCACUGCUACUGCGCUAGCGACAGCCUUUAGGCCACUCUCUGGGGAGAGGUGCGUGGCCACCGGUGCACACACACACACACACACUCACACGUAUGCGAGAAAGGGCACUGACACAUAACCAACCUCAUAAAACACGCGCAUACGCGCGCGCACAAGACGUCACCGAGAGACGCUCAGCACUAGUGCAGCGCGACCUUCCUUGUUGGGCUGCACUUUACCGUUUUUGUGCACGCCUUAUUCUCCAAACUCUACAGACAACCGAGGUCCCUUCAUCAUCGCCCAGAGUGAUCUCCCGUAUCAGACCUCUAUCGGCACUAGCACCAAGAUCGCCAAGCCAAGGGGUCAGUCUAUCAGUCAGGCAGGGAAAGGAGGAGAGUAUUGGAGAGGUGGCGGGGAGGGGCACUAUUGUGCAUCAUUACAUGAAGAAAAGCGUUAAGCCGUUUGACCUUGAUUGUUACAUAUCACGUGUGCGUGUUGUGCGUUUUCCUUUCUUUUCACAUCACUGUCAUCCCUCACGUCGAACACCGCCACCACUGCUGCUACAGUCGCAACCCCCUCCAGGGCGACUAGGGCAGGUGCACAAAUCCUAUCACACAUUACGCCGGCAGCAGUACUUCACAAGAAGAAGCACAUCGCCGCCGGAGCGCCAAGCCGCUGUGUGUGCGUGCGUGUCUGUAGUCUCUCUCUUUCUUCUCCCCCUUUUUCGCCUUUUGCGUUGCGCGGCUGUGUGUUCCGUUCUUUCCUCCCGUGUACGUUCGGGCCUGCUCUUGUUGUGUUUGUUCGUCUGUCUACCGUGCUCCGCAUCGCUCACUCCUUCUCUUUUCCCCGGGGCUUCCCCUGCCGCGGAGGGGUGGUCGAGGCGAAAAG